AAAGCUGUGGUUUCCUCUAUUUGCAAAGCUAUGAGUUAUGGAGAAAAGUUGUGGUUUCAUCUAUUUGCAAAGCUAUGAGUUAUGGAGAAAAGUGGUUUCCUCUAUUUGUAAAGCUAUGAGUUAUGGAGAAAAGCUGUGGUUUCCUCUAUUUGCAAAGCUAUGAGUUAUGGAGAAAAGUUGUGGUUUCCUCUAUUUGCAAAGCUAUGAGUUAUAGAGGAGAAAAGCUGUAUAUUUUUCAAUUUGAUAUAAUUAUGACACAAUCAGUAUUAUUAUUUAUAUGCCCAUAAUUUUGGAGAAUUAUUCGUCAUUCUCACUCACUCUUUAGAAUCACCAAGUUCUAACCAUUCUCUCCACCUCACCAAGUCUUUAGAAUCACCAAGUCCUAACCAUUCUCUCAACCUCCAAAAGAUGUGGAAGCUUCACUGCAUGAUCAUUUGCUUAAUGGAUGCAUGCCUUCUUGCAAGCAGCCUCGGUGUUCCAUUCACUGAAGUUGCUAAUGCAAAGACGAGCAGAUUUAUAUUUAUAAGUAAUUUUUUCAUCCAUGAAUAAAUGACUUACUUUGUAUGUGAUUAUAUACACAUAAUUCCAUUUCAGUGUGUAUGGACGGCUCACCGGCUGGCUACUAUUACUCGGCCGGGUCAGGAGACGGGGCCAAGAAUUGGCUCCUUUUUCUCAUGGGAGGUGGAUGGUGUGAUAACGUUGAUGAUUGCCAAAGCAAACUGAAUCAAUCUUUUGGCAGUAGCAAAUUCAUGCCUUUUACCAAAUUCUCUGAGAUUCUUAGCCCAGAUCGCCAAAUCAACCCGGGUAUCAUUUUCAGAUUUCUAUAAUUGGAAUAGGAUUUUCGUGGCCUAUUGUGACCAAUCAUCAUUCCUCGGUGACACCGAGUUUGAUGGCCAAGGACCGAAACUUCAAUUUCGUGGAUCCAGGAUUUUUGAUGCUGUUGUUGACGACCUUUUGGCUAAAGGGAUGGGCGUUGGAGAGAAUGCUAUUCUUUCUGGAAUAUCGGCAGGGGGGCUUGCGACUAUCUUACAUUGUGACGGCUUUCGAGCACGUCUCCCCGAUGUGGGCAGAGUGAAAUGCCUCUCGGAUGGGGGAUUUUUCUUUCGAGGAGAGAAUGUCCUUAAUGCCGACUACAGAGAGAAAUAUUUUGCCGCCUCCGUAAUUACGCUCCAUGUAUGUAUCACUUCUUUGUAAACAUAUGAAUUUCUUCAAAACAAUUUGACAUAUUUGAUUCAUAAACAUCAAUCUCUUAUUUAUCGAAUACUCCACUAUUAUAGCCUCCUUCCCGUGACAUGCACUGAGAGAAUAGAUCCGAGUUUGG